GGCCUGGUGGUGUAGCGGUAACAUGCUCCUUCCAUAUGUUGUAAAGGUUGUUUAGUAUAAGGGGGAUACCCUCGUUCGAAUCGAGGCCAGGUCA